rnacentral:miRNA from 1 species
UGUGAAUACACAGACACAAACACACACACACACACACACACACAUAUAUAUAUAUAUGUGUGUGUGUGUGUGUGUGUGUGUAUAUAUCACA